rnacentral:lncRNA from 1 species
AAGAACUCCCUGCGCCUCCAUGCAGCCUAGCAUGGAUUGAAGGUGCCGGCGGUUGAGAAAGAACCAAGGGUAGAGCACACAGAAGCAGAGCAAGGUCCUCUGAUGCAGGAUGAAACUGUUGCAGAUUCACGUAUGUUGGAGCCUGAUUCAGUGCUGCUGGGGCCAGAGACAACAGAGGAACACAGAGUACCAGAAGAGACACAAGUGAUGUUGGAGGAACCGAUGCUAGAGGCAGAUUACCUGACUGAAGAGAUGCCAGAGACAGAACUAGAGCCUGAGCCAGAAAUAACUGCCAUUCAGAUGAACAGAAACAUCAUACCUGUGGAGGAAGCUGUACAACAGUUAGAGUCUGAAACUAAUAUAGAGGUGGAAGAUGAAAAAGAAGAAAAUGUAGUAAAGGAGGAGCCUACACUUGAGGCUGAUUAUAUAGAGGUUGAAGAUCCAGAAAUACAAAUGGAACUUGGGAGGGAAAGACGAAGGACACAGAUUGGGAGAUGGACUUGUAGAGGAGUUGUCCUACAGGGCAAAUGUUACCAGUACUUCACAAGAAACCUUGAUGCCUAUACUGCUGAGUUACAAUGUCAAUCUAUCUGCCCCAAUGGCCACCUGGCCUCUGUGACAAGCAGCUACAUUCGUGACGGAAUGGGCAAGUUAAUGGACCGGUAUGGCGGGCGCACUCGCGCAUGGCUUGGAGGACGGAGAAUCAUUGGUGUAUGUUCAUUUGUUUUGCAGUGUUUCACUUUUUCACAUGGUUUAUUCAUUUCUCCACCAUAUCUGUCCCUCUAGUAAGUCACUUUCCUGUUUUGACAGACAAAUAAUUUUGUUUGGUUGGAUGGAACGCAGUGGAGCUAUAAUGGCUGGGCUUUUGGAGAGCCCAAUAAUGCUGGUGGGAUGGAGAAUUGCGUGGAGACGUGGAGUAAGUGUUGCUACUGAACAACAGUUAACAAAAAUCUGUCAAUAAAAAGUCACAUUCAUUGCACAGAUCCAAAGGAAUAAUAUAUAAAUAUUAACUCCUUCACCUAAGUUUUAUUCUCUGUGUUCCUUUUGUAGUGAUGCCUUCCUCUUUUCAUGAUCUGUCUUUACCAGUUUUUACAAAGCUUUGUCUAUUUUCAGAUGAUCUGGCGUUCAGUGAUGUACCAUGCGCAAUACCCAAACCGUUCAUCUGUUCCUGUCCAGUUUAGACAGCCAGAAGGUUAACCUAACCUGCU